rnacentral:rRNA from 1 species
ACGGGUGCGUAACGCGUGGGAAUCUGCCCUUGGGUACGGAAUAACUCAGAGAAAUUUGUGCUAAUACCGUAUAAUGUCUUCGGACCAAAGAUUUAUCGCCCAAGGAUGAGCCCGCGUAGGAUUAGCUAGUUGGUGAGGUAAAAGCUCACCAAGGCGACGAUCCUUAGCUGGUCUGAGAGGAUGAUCAGUCACACUGGGACUGAGACACGGCCCAGACUCCUACGGGAGGCAGCAGUGGGGAAUAUUGGACAAUGGGCGAAAGCCUGAUCCAGCAAUGCCGCGUGAGUGAUGAAGGCCCUAGGGUUGUAAAGCUCUUUUACCCGGGAUGAUAAUGACAGUACCGGGAGAAUAAGCUCCGGCUAACUUCGUGCCAGCAGCCGCGGUAAUACGAGGGGAGCUAGCGUUGUUCGGAAUUACUGGGCGUAAAGCGCGCGUAGGCGGUUUUUUAAGUCAGAGGUGAAAGCCCGGGGCUCAACCCCGGAAUAGCCUUUGAAACUGGAAAACUAGAAUCUUGGAGAGGUCAGUGGAAUUCCGAGUGUAGAGGUGAAAUUCGUAGAUAUUCGGAAGAACACCAGUGGCGAAGGCGACUGACUGGACAAGUAUGACGCUGAGG